AGAAAGUAAUCUCUCUGACCUGCGUUUCUUUACAAGGUUUGAAGGAGAAGUUCUGCAGGACUCUGACAAGGGCGAGUUUCAUGUUCAUGAUCGCAAACCUCAUCCCAAUGCAGUUUCGCGGUCCAGUUCCAAAAGGCAGGUAUAUAUAAGGAUUUCUGCUGUCCUUGU